ACGUAGAUCACGAAUAUUUGGUUUAUUUGGUCGGCAGCUCAAUGGUUGAGGCGCUAUCGCUUACUUCCGGUAUACUUCCGGAAAAUUUGCAUAAAACUAGCAAGUGAGCUUUGUUCUCUGCACAAUUCUAAAGACUCCUUGCCCAGUUUAAGCAAACAGAAAUGGUCUUUUUGAUUACUUUUGUGACUUUAGUGACUAUCUAAAGCCGGUCAGUUUUGGACGUGUCUAAUAGAUGGCGUGAAGGAUAUAGUGUUGUCAGUUGUCAGACAGAUGUGGGCUUAUGGGACUCGGCGACUCGUUGUCUAAAUCUAUUUUCAGCUACAGCUAUUUUCUUCGAAAGUUACAAAUGAACACAUAGGUUAAUUCGAGUGAUUUCAUUUGUAACUUGUCUGUGAUGUGUUCUAUUCCUUGUACAUGUUGGAUAACCUUAGUGUUUCUCAUCAACUGACAGAAGGAAACGUAGCCUACCGUUGACUAUUUUGUUCAAAAUGUGCCAUCGAAAUGACACAGGAUUCAUCAUAAUUAUCUGCUGUAAGAAUUGGACUUACUAUAUCACCAACCCCAUCACGGACCAAUCUCUCAUUCCAUCUUCUAGGGAACCUUAGCUAACUGUUUGGUGGUUUCAUGUGUUUGAAACUACAUGGUUUCUAAAUUUGCAUGACAGACUUUAAGAAAAGUCAUGUUGAAGAAAAAGGACUGAGGACUGACUCUGACUGACAGUCAACAAGCUACCUGUUGGCUGCUUCCCUUGAAUCUCCCUUUUUGCUUCCUUAAGCUUGAUUUGAGGGUAAAUCUUUCGCUACUUAUCAUGGACGUCAUCCAUUGGGGAUGCUAUAAUUCAAGAGAAUGCUGUCAUUCAAGACUGAUAAAUUGUGUAGUUGUUAGAUAAAACAAGUGCAGUCAGUUAAGGCAGUGUCUCCUCCUGUCUUGAUUGACUGUAUGUGCGAGUUUCAAAAGCAGUUUAUCACCCAAAUGAGACAAAAGGAGUAUGUCUGUUUGUUUUAUUUGGGUAUAAAUUGCUUUAAAAUUUGCACAGAAAAACAUUUGGGUUGUACCGGAGGCUUUGUUUAUUAAAUUUCAUUAAUUUUGAUGCA